rnacentral:rRNA from 1 species
CUAUAUGCAGUCGAGCGCAGGAAGNCGUCGGAACCCUUCGGGGGGAAGUGCGGGGAAUGGGCGGCGGACGGGUGAGUAACACGUAAAGAACCUGGCCAUAGGUCUGGGAUAACCCCGAAAAAACGGGGCUAAUACCGGAUGNGUCAUCGGACCGCAUGGUCCGCUGAUGAAAGGGGCUCCGGCGUCCCCCAUGGAUGGGUUUGCGGUGCAUUAACUAGUUGGNGGGGUAACGGCCCACCAAGGGGACGAUGCAUAACCGACCUGAGAGGGUGAUCGGCCACACUGGGACUGAAACACGGCCCAAACUCCUACGGGAGGCAGCAGUANGGAAUCUUNCACAANGGACGAAAGUCUGAUGGAGCAACGCCCCGUG